GUGUGUGUGUAUAUAUACAUGUACACUUCUGGAAUGAUACGUAUAAUCAUCCCUCUCUCUUGUACGCUCCUAAUCUUAGAUUCUUUUCCUAAUAAGGCAUACACAGGUAGGUUUAUCAAGUAGACUUCUAGGUGUAAUAGCACGUGUUCAAGAUGGAAAAGCUAAACUCGCAGCUAUACUUGCAGAACUGUUAUAUAAUCCAACAGAAUGAGAUGCUAAGGAAGAAAGCUCAGCGGCUAAACCAAGAGAAUCAGGCACUGUUGUCAGAGCUGAAGCAGAAACUCUCCAAGGCAAGCUCCAGUUCUACAACAAAUCCCGUUAAUUCUGACAAGCCCUGAUUCGUGGAUGUCUUAAUUCAGUAACGCCCCCUCCCUUUUCUCCCCCUUUGUUCGUUGUGUGCAGAGCAUGGAGUGCCUAGUUACAUGUUGAAACUCUAGCCAGUCUUUAUUUUUAGAGGAAAAAAUGUACUUGUGAAGAUAUAUUUGAUGAUUGAUAAAUGAAAUCUUCUGGUCUCUCUUUUACACCAAA